rnacentral:piRNA from 1 species
UUUCUGCCCAUGGAGCAUCUUUGGGA